rnacentral:tRNA from 2 species
GGGGCUGUAGCUCAAUUGGUAGAGCACCGCCUUUGCAAGGCGGGGGUCAGGGGUUCGAUUCCCCUCAGCUCCACC